UCUCUCUUCCUCCAUCUCUCCCCCUCCCGUGGCCAUCCUCCUACUCCCUCUCUCCCCCUCCCACUUCCUCUCUCCCUUCCUCAGCACUGUCGCCCCUGCCGUCGUUGUCACCUAGGUAGGUUUCUUUCCUUCUCUUUUCCUACAUUUUGAAAUAUUUUUUAAUCUUCUUGUCCGACGUCGCUGUCCGAGCUCCGCCACCCUCAGCGUCCUCUCCCCUCUCUCUACG
rnacentral:lncRNA from 1 species